rnacentral:misc_RNA from 1 species
UGUGGGAGCGGGCUUGCUCGCGAAAGCGGUGGGUCAGUCACCAUCAAUAUUGCCUGACUCACCGCUUUCGCGAGCAAGCCCGCUCCCACA